ACACAAUGAAGAGUAAACUACUCUGUGGAACUCCACGUUCUGUUCUUGCACUAAGUCUCCAACACCUGCGUGUAGAUUUUCAGUCUGAGUCAGUGCACUUUGAGCACCCGAUGGCCGUGUGUGGCCAGCAGCUGCCCAUCUCCCAGCAUAACUCCAGACAGAAUUGAAUGCCCUGGAGAAAAGGGGAAACAGCACAGCAGGAGCCAAGCCUGCAGGCUGAGUCUACCAGAAAUGAAUGUCAAAUUGGAGAUGCAUUAACAACCCCCGCAGUACACUUCGCCCUGCCUUUCCCUGGGCUCUCUUGGACUCUAUGUGGAGAAGAGACACGUGGCUUAAAAGGUCACCCAAGACAUAAGUGGUAACAACCGGCAAUCCUAUAAAAUAAAAGGUGAGACAAUGGCUCUGUUCACACCCGCCAUGGGAAUCCCUUUAAGAUCAGUGUCCAUGAGCCUUACCUCGCAACUCUUCCAAGAUCAUAACCAAAGCCUGUUACAGCGGCGGAGGAUAACAGUCAGACAGGACCAAGCUGAAGGUACUCUUUAUCACCCUGACUUCAAGUAACUGUGAAGCACACCUCUCACCUGAACCUCGCCAACGAGACACACUGUGGAUGAGAAGGCAGUGCCGCAUGACAGGGAACGCAGGGGCUUUGGGUGACGUGGGGCCGGGUGACAUGGGAUGAGGUGACGUGGGCUGAGGCCACCUGCCUCUCAGCUGCUGGGUGCCUCCCUCACCAGGUGGCUGCCUUGCUUGGGCUCAGACCAGACUCACGGUUCUCAAGCCCCCAUACAGCUUCUGUUUAUAGGGGUUCUUCUAUCUGCGUUUUCUGCUAUUAAAACUGAGAAAAAAA
rnacentral:lncRNA from 1 species